GCAAGUCGAGCGGACAGAUGGGAGCUUGCUCCCUGAUGUUAGCGGCGGACGGGUGAGUAACACGUGGGUAACCUGCCUGUAAGACUGGGAUAACUCCGGGAAACCGGGGCUAAUACCGGAUGGUUGUUUGAACCGCAUGGUUCAGACAUAAAAGGUGGCUUCGGCUACCACUUACAGAUGGACCCGCGGCGCAUUAGCUAGUUGGUGAGGUAACGGCUCACCAAGGCAACGAUGCGUAGCCGACCUGAGAGGGUGAUCGGCCACACUGGGACUGAGACACGGCCCAGACUCCUACGGGAGGCAGCAGUAGGGAAUCUUCCGCAAUGGACGAAAGUCUGACGGAGCAACGCCGCGUGAGUGAUGAAGGUUUUCGGAUCGUAAAGCUCUGUUGUUAGGGAAGAACAAGUGCCGUUCAAAUAGGGCGGCACCUUGACGGUACCUAACCAGAAAGCCACGGCUAACUACGUGCCAGCAGCCGCGGUAAUACGUAGGUGGCAAGCGUUGUCCGGAAUUAUUGGGCGUAAAGGGCUCGCAGGCGGUUUCUUAAGUCUGAUGUGAAAGCCCCCGGCUCAACCGGGGAGGGUCAUUGGAAACUGGGGAACUUGAGUGCAGAAGAGGAGAGUGGAAUUCCACGUGUAGCGGUGAAAUGCGUAGAGAUGUGGAGGAACACCAGUGGCGAAGGCGACUCUCUGGUCUGUAACUGACGCUGAGGAGCGAAAGCGUGGGGAGCGAACAGGAUUAGAUACCCUGGUAGUC
rnacentral:rRNA from 1 species